rnacentral:lncRNA from 1 species
AUACUGAUGGAGACAAGCUGAAAGCAGCAAAGGUCUGGACGCUGACCGAGGUCCUAGUCAGGGAGAAGCAGCAGUGCAUGGAGGCCAAGGGCCAGCAGAAGGAGCAGCUGGUGCUGCUGGAGAAGAAGAGGACCACGUACUCCCAGGUGUGCGGGGCGGUGGCCUAGUCUCCUCCAUUUGACGCCGGGGCUCCUUCCGCUAAGCCAGAGCUUCCUCCUCUUACGGCUUGCUUGUUGUCUUGGGGUCCAGGUGCUUCUCCGCUGCCUCAGUUUACUGCAGAGGCUUCUUCAGGAGCACCGGCUGAAGACUCAGUCGGAGCUGGACCGCAUCAACACCCAGUACCUGGAGAUCAAGUGCAGUGCUAUGAUCCUCAAGAUGAGGAUGGAGGAACUGAAGAUUUUGUCUGACACUUACAGUGCCGAGAAAGUGGAAGUACAUCGCCUCAUUAGGGACCACUUGGAGGGAGCCAUUCGCCUCCAAGAGCAGGACAUGGAGAAAUCGAGACUGGCCCUGCACACCUAUGAGGUCCUGGGAGAAGACUUUGAGAACCUGGUGAAGGAGUACACCCAGCUCAAACUGGCAGCUGAGAACAAGCGCUGGGCCCUCCAGGAGUUUAGCAAGGCCUACCGCUGAGUUGAAUGUAGGCAGAACCAGGAAGCAUGGAUUCUUCAUGGCCACCUUCUCUUCCUGCUCAGUGGACCACCUCCACCACAGGGGAAUAUGGGGACACUUGCUUAAAACACUGCAGUCUUCACGACACCCUUCUGGUUUCUUUCUUGUUUACAGUGACUGGGUCUCUUCUGGAAAUGUAGCUAUCAGAUUUAUAAAAUUCUGUGCAUAUCUGUUUUGCCUCAGUCCUGUGUAAUAAUUUCCUGAAUAAAGUUGUAGUAUUAUGCCUUA